AUCCAGCUGACGAGUCCCAAAUAAGACGAAACGAACAUCAAGCUGGAU
rnacentral:hammerhead_ribozyme from 1 species